CGGUAUGGUCCAAGGACGGUACAAGUUUCCAACGAAUCACUGAAGUUAAGUAACGUUCGGCGUGGUUAGUAUCCAAAUGGGUGACCAUCUGGGUAAUCGCGUUACUUAUAUGC
rnacentral:rRNA from 1 species